rnacentral:rRNA from 1 species
UACAGAGGGUGCGAGCGUUGUCCGGAAUCACUGGGCGUAAAGGGCGCGUAGGCGGUCUGCUAAGCGUGUGGUGAAAGCUCGGGGCUCAACCCCGCGUCGGCCAUGCGAACUGGUGGACUGGAGCUUGUCGAGAGGCAGGCGGAAUUCCGGAUGUAGCGGUGGAAUGCGCAGAUAUCAGGAGGAACACCAAUAGCGAAGGCAGCUCGCUGGGACGUUACUGACACUGGAGGCGCGAAAGCGUGGGGAGCGAACA